rnacentral:rRNA from 1 species
UCCCGGCUGCCGAGAAAAGCUUCGGCGUGAGGCGGCGUGCCGCCCGUACCCCAAACCGACACUGGUGGUCAGGUAGAGAAUACCAAAGCGAUCGAGCGAAUCCUGGUCAAGGAACUCGGCAAAUCACUCCCGUUCCUUCGGUUUAAGGGAGACCCCCGAUGGUGAAGCGGCUUGCCCGUGGAGCUUUUGGGGGUGGCACAGACCAGGGGGUAGCGACUGUUUACCAAAAACACAGGAGCGUGCGAAGGCGCAAGCCGCUGUAUACGCUCUGACGCCUGCCCGGUGCCGGAAGGUUAAGAGGAUCCGUCAGGCUUCGGCCGAAGCGGUGAAUUCAAGCCCCGGUAAACGGCGGUGGUAACUAUAACCAUCCUAAGGUAGCGAAAUUCCUUGUCGGGUAAGUUCCGACCUGCACGAAUGGCGUAACGACUUCCCCACUGUCUCGACCAGGAGCUCGGCGAAAUUGCAGUACGAGUAAAGAUGCUCGUUAAGCGCAGAAGGACGAAAAGACCCCGGGACCUUUACUAUACCUUGGUAUUGGCAUUCGGUGUGGAUUGUGUAGCAUAGGCGGAAGGCUUCGAAGCCACGGCGCCAGCCGCGGUGGAGCCGCAAGGUGAAAUACCGCUCUGUUCGCAUUGGAUGUCUAACCUCGACCAGUCAUCCUGGUCAGGGACAGUGCCUGGCGGGUAGUUUAACUGGGGCGGUUGCCUCCCAAAGAGUAACGGAGGCGCUCAAAGGUUCCCUCAGCCCGGUUGGCAAUCGGGUGGCGAGUGUAAGUGCACAAGGGAGCUUGACUGCGAGACUGACGGGUCGAGCAGGGACGAAAGUCGGAACUAGUGAUCCGGUGCCGGUGUACGGACGCGGCAUCGCUCAACGGAUAAAAGGUACCCCGGGGAUAACAGGCUGAUCAUUCCCAAGAGUCCAUAUCGACGGGAUGGUUUGGCACCUCGAUGUCGGCUCGUCGCAUCCUGGGGCUGGAGCAGGUCCCAAGGGUUCGGCUGUUCGCCGAUUAAAGCGGCACGCGAGCUGGGUUCAGAACGUCGUGAGACAGUUUGGUCUCUAUCCUCUGCGCUCGUCGGAAUGUUGAGGAGGCCUGCCCAUAGUACGAGAGGACCUGGGUGGACGAACCUCUGGUAUGCCGGUUGUCACGCCAGUGGCACGGCCGGUUGGCUACGUUCGGAAGGGAUAACCGCUGAAAGCAUCUAAGCGGGAAGCCUGCUCCAAGAUAAGCAUUCCAUAGGACUACGGGUCCUUGAAGUCCCCAUGCAGAACACGUGGUUGAUAGGCCGGACGUGGAAGCCCCGCGAGGGGUGGAGCCGACCGGUACUAACGGACGAAAGGCAACACAAC